UUGUUUGUCAUUGUCACCAGCCAUUGUCGUGGAGGAAGCCAACUUGUUGUUUUGGUACAUGUGAAAUUGUGAAUUGGUUGAUCUUCAGAUUGAAUAACUGAAUUUAACUUUAACUUUAUAGUGAACAGUGGUAAAUCAUAAUAACGUGGUAUAAAUGGGCGAAAGCGAGACAUUAACAUUGAGAUGUUGACGUGUGGAUUGAUGAAGAAAGCUUUCAAGCAUGGUGUCUAAAGCUCAUGCACGCUCAUGCAUCACCUCUACUGGAAAUGUACCUGAACAAUUAUCACCUCGGAAACAGUGUUCCACCUCAUCAGACUGAAUGUGGCAACAGGCUCAGAGGUGAUCAAGGCUGAAAUAUCACCAUAACGAAAGUGUACAUUGGACAAAUAUCAUCUCGAAAAAUUGUUUUUCAACCCCAUCGUACUGAAAGGGACAAGCCCGGAAUAAAAGAAGUUGGGGGUCGCUUUUUGGAGAACUACUUCCUUCAGCGGACAGCCGAGGACAGAGAUGGGAGCCGGAUUUUCUCCAACCUUGCCGAUUCACACGCACCUGAUAAAUUCACAGUUUCGAGUGUCGGACGGAGGCAGUGAAGUGCAGGAAAGGAACGCGCCAAAGAUCAUGAGAGUUCGGUAACGCACACCUGUGAAGACAAAAUCCCCUCUUCUUGGAAACUAUUCACAGUGGCAUCAUGUGAACUCCCAAGUUACAAACUUCGUUGGGGUCCGUUACGAGUUCAAAUGCUAUGUUUGCCGUGUUUUGCGUGUGCAUUCCAUCAUUCCAUAUUGGUUGUACAAACCAUUACAAAUGUAACGAAACAGGCUGCUUUUCGACUCCCACUGUGGGAAAACGGUGAAGCUUCUGGGGGAGGUAUCCCCAAAGCGACCGUUUAUAUUAAUUCUUGCUCCUUACUAAGUUGUACAUGCAUACAUGUUCCUUUAAGACAGCUCUUAUUGUAGGCUAACGUAGUCUUCUAAGGAUUUUAUUAACAAUAAAAAAGAAACGAAGGGCCCUCCGGCCCUCCCAUUAGGUUUCAUGACCCCCGUUCAAUCAUAUCCUCAUGUCUAUCAGAAAAAAAAGAAGACCGGAAAGCCAUCUUCAAAUGUUUCAAUGAACUAUUUGUUACGUCCAUGAGAUCGUGAGUUGGCGUCCGAUGUCAGUCUACAACGCAGUUUCUUUAUUGAAUUGUGUGGUCCUAGCACGGAGAUCCUUGAGGCAAUGCUGGCUUUUGUUCAUGAAAGAAGAGUGGCUUUCACCAACGUUCUGCUACAUCCGUAUCUUCAAGACGUACGAGCAGCCAGCUUCACUGCUUCGUAAAUGCUGCUGCUACACAAUUUGUCUUCACUGUCGAGUUAGAUCACUUCAGUGUUCGCUUCGAUCCGCUGUGACACACCUGCAGUCACUCGCCACGGGAUUAUGCCCAGGAGAAAAUGUGAAAGGGGCAUGCAGC